rnacentral:rRNA from 1 species
GGGGGGAAGGAAAGUCUUGACGCAGCAACGCCGCGUGAGGGACGAAGGCUUUCUGAGUUGUAAACCUCUUUCGACAGGAACGAUUGUGACGGUACCUGUAGAAGAAGCACCGGCCAACUAUGUGCCAGCAGCCGCGGUGAUACAUAGGGUGCAAGCGUUAUUCGGAUUUAUUGGGCGUAAAGAGCUCGUAGGCGGUUCAGCAAGUCGGGUGUUAAACCCCCAGGCUCAACCUGGGGCCGCCACUCGAAACUGUUGUGACUAGAGUUUGGUAGGGGAUCACGGAAUUCCUGGUGUAGCGGUGGAAUGCGCAGAUAUCAGGAGGAACACCAGUAGCGAAGGCGGUGAUCUGGGCCAAUACUGACGCUGAGGAGCGAAAGCGUGGGGAGCGAACAGGAUUAGAUACCCUGGUAGUCCACGCCGUAAACGGUGGGCACUAGGUGUGGGGACUUUUCAACGGUUUCCGCGCCGCAGCUAACGCAUUAAGUG